rnacentral:rRNA from 1 species
AUUGAACGCUGGCGGCAGGCCUAACACAUGCAAGUCGAGCGAGCGGCGGACGGGUGAGUAAUGUAUGGGGACUGCCCGAUAGAGGGGGAUAACUACUGGAAACGGUGGCUAAUACCGCAUACUAUCCGAUAACCCAUCUGGGAUUAGCUAGUAGGUGGGGUAAAGGCUCACCUAGGCGACGAUCCCUAGCUGGUCUGAGAGGAUGACCAGCCCAACUGGACUGGGGACAGGGUCCAGACUCUAACGGAGGAAGAAGUGGGGAAUAUUGCAAAAUGGGCGAAAGCUUGAUGCGGACAUGCCGCGUGUGUGAAGAGGGCUUUCGGGUUGUAAGGCAAGUUAAGCGAGGCGGCGGUACUCGCAGAAGAAGCAACGGCUAACUCCGUGCCAGCAGCCGCGGUAAUAC